rnacentral:rRNA from 1 species
UACGAAGGUGGCAAGCGUUGUUCGGAUUCACUGGGCGUACAGGUGUGUAGGCGGUUUGGUAAGCCUCUGUUAAAGCUUCGGCCCAACCCGGAAAGCGCAGAGGUACUGCCAGGCUAGAGGACGGGAGAGGAGCGACGGAAUUCCCGGUGUAGCGGUAGAAAUGCGUAGAGAUCGGGAGGAAGGCCGGUGGCGAAGGCGGCGCUCUGGAACGUUACUGACGCUGAGACGACGAAAGCGUGGGGAGCAAAGCAGGAUUGAAGAU